UACGUAGGGGGCAAGCGUUGUCCGGAAUUAUUGGGCGUAAAGAGCGCGUAGGCGGUCCGGUAAGUCAGCUGUGAAAGUCAAGGGCUCAACCCUUGAAAGCCGGCUGAUACUGCCGGACUAGAGUCCGGAAGAGGCGAGUGGAAUUCCCGGUGUAGCGGUGAAAUGCGCAGAUAUCGGGAAGAACACCAGUGGCGAAAGCGCUCUACUGGGCCAUAACUGACACUGAGGGACGAAAGCUAGGGGAGCGAAAGGG
rnacentral:rRNA from 1 species